GACCUCCCUCUUUGGAGCAAUCGAUCAUGGAGCUCCAUGAUCGAUUGCUCAGCAGAGGGAGGCC
rfam:Myotis lucifugus cont2.12091, whole genome shotgun sequence.